AGGGGCUGGAGGGAGGAAAGGGAUAUGCUUGGUCUUAAUAAACAUUCCUCUUUCUUUAGAUUUUUUUUCUAGCAUACUGGAGAGAAUAGCACAUGUGUUCCCUACCCCACAGACCUCAAUAUGGGACCUCAUAGCAGAGGAAUCUCUGGGUCACUUCAUCAGAUGUGCCCAUCCAAAUUCCUCAAGACUUUCUGGAGUCCAUCUUCUGAACAAGGCAGGGAAAUUGAAGUUCACUCAUCCAAACCGUUAUGACUACACCAAUUGUGGCACAGCUCUUUAUGGGAAGAUAAGGGGUGUAACAACAGCUAAAAACUCUUAAUUCCUCAGGGCUGCACAGGUCUGUGGAAAAUCUGAGCCUUGGGAUUGUGGAAAGAGAAGAAGAAACCUGAACACUCUUCCAUAUCGCCAGCAGAAAAACAACUUUGAUAUAAUUCAAAGGCUUUGCUGUUUUGUUGUCAAUAGAUUAGAAAGGCAGAGUGAUGUUCCCAGUUGUGUCAGGUUAGAUUGCAGUUUAACAUUAAAAUGGGAUUGUCUGUCUAUAAAUCUAUUUGUGGCUAUUUCUGAACUUCCCUUGACAAAAGCAAGGAAAAGUGAUCUAUAAAUCAUUAUGUUACAAAUGUCUUAUGCUUUCCUGGUUGGCUUUAGGAACAGAAAAGGUAUAUUUGUUUCUCUAUUUACCCACACUUAUCCCUCAAAUGAGUUUUGGUUUUAUCUUCGUUAAACAGAAAUGACCUUUCUGUCAGUAGCUAGGCUGAUAAUGUUGUGUAAGCCUGAUGACUGUGCACAGUGGGGACUGUGUUGCAUAUGGGCAGAUCCAUCCUUUCAAAACAUGAAUAGAAACGUAAUUGCACAUUUUUGUGGCACUGUGUAAAACUGAGUAAGUGAACUUACCUUUACCUGCAUUGCUUGUUGCAGCACUGAUUACUAGCUGCUGGUAGGGGGCUCAGGCUUGGGGUUUCAGGGCAGUGAGGCAGGACUGGUGUUUGCCUCCCUUUCCAGCUGUUCUCCCCCACUUCCUCUUAGAUGGGUUCUGCUGUGUUCUCUGUGUCCUUAUUUUUCUCUUUCUGGAACUUUGUAAAUUUGUCCUGAUUUUUACAGUGGUUUUUGAAAGCAAUCUGUAAUGUUAUGGCAUAGUUUUCUGCAACUGCUUACUUUGGAAUGCAGAGCUAUGUAUUUGACAGAACCUAAAGAAACAAGACUGAGUGUAGCUGUGACAAAAUAGAAUAAAAACGAUAUUCAUUUGUUUACA
rnacentral:lncRNA from 1 species